rnacentral:lncRNA from 1 species
UUCGCAAAAAAAGAUCAAUUAAAUCACGUUCACAAAUAAAACAGGAUUUACAUGUACAACAGAUCAAUUAAAUUAAAUCCACAAAUAAAAAGGAUUACAUGACACAUCUUCCUCCUCGAACGUAUAUUGAACAGCUGAACUCGUAGACGUACAGAAGUAGUAACACUGAACUAGUUUAUUAAGGCUCGCAUUAUUCCGAUUUUCGAGGCACGGUAGAAUUUUUUAGGCGGUGCAGAUAACGUGGCAACACCACAUCAAUGUAGUCCAUGCGUUGUUCAUCGUAGUAAUCCAAGAUCAAUCAUCACAUGAUGGAGCAGGCAUCCGAUGGGUUCUCCUCCGUGAACCAUGGUGGCGGCAUGAAGCAGGGCUGCUGCGGCGGCCAGGUGGGCGGUGGCCAGCAAUUAGGCGGCUUGCUGCAGCCACAGCCGCCGUGAGAGGGGUGUUGCGACUGCGAGCACUUACAGGGCUCCGGCUUGGGGGGCUCCGGCGGCGGUGGGGGAGGCGGUGGCGGCGGGGGCGGUGGCUUAUCGGCAAGGCAGCAGUGACACUGCUGCGGAGGGCAGUUCCACGGCGAGCUCUGGCACUGCAUAGGGUACGGCAGCGGGUACGGGUAUGGCACGAACUUGUAUGUUGGUUUGGGCGGCGGCGGCGGCGGCGUUUUCUUUUCCGGCUCAGUGCAUGGUUUGGCCUCAGUUUUGCAUGGUUUGUGCUCAGGUUUGCAUGGUUUGUGCUCCGCCGGGCAUGGUUUGGCCUCAGGUUUGCAUGGUUUGUGCUCAGGAGCCGGCGGACAUGGCUUCGGGUGACAUGGACAUGGUUUUGGCGGCUCGGGCGGAGGCGGGCAUGUGCAUGCGCAUGGUGGUUUCGAAGGCUUGGUUGGAGCCGGCGGGCAUGGCUUCGGGUGACAUGGACAUGGUUUUGGCGGCUCGGGCGGAGGCGGGCAUGUGCAUGCGCAUGGUGGUUUCUUUGGCUUGUCUGGGCAUGGGGGCGGCGGCGGCCAUUGUUUUACGAUCUCGAUCUCCUUGACGGCCUUGCAGGCCUUGCACCAGAUCUUUUUGCAGAGCUUCUCCGCGUCGAAUUUCCCACGGACGAUCACCCUGUUGUCCUUGUCCUCGUACUCAGUCUUCUCGAUGCAGUAAUC